rnacentral:hammerhead_ribozyme from 1 species
GCACUGCUUACGAGUCUCAAAUAGAACGAAACAGCUGUCCAGUGC